UGCCGGAUAUGAUCUAAUGGCCCAUGUCACAAAAGAAAACCAAUCAUUCUUUCAUACAAAAGAAAUAACUUGAACGCAUGGCGAUGAGGGGGUUGAAGGGUAUUUUAUUAAUGACUAUGAUCAUUUUUGAUAAAAUAGAUGCUAUGGAUGCCUAACUAUACUAAAAUUUGAGUAAAAGUCUCUUUUUAAGAAAGAAAAAUUUUUAUAUACCAAGUGUUGCUCUUGAUCUCCUCAUCUGAGAUCGACUGCC
rnacentral:lncRNA from 1 species